CUCAGAAAGAGCAGCAGAUGAGCCAUGCCUAUCACAAUGGCUAUGGCAUGUCUAUUUCUGCCACCAACUCCUCUCCUUUCCAUUACCACCACCAAAUGUCCUCGCUCUUCUCUUUUUACUACCCAGAAGGUAGCUUUGCCCGUCACCUCCUCUUCUACUCCUCUCAGACCAAAAAUAGCCUUCCAUUUCCACAAAAUUCUCCAAAGGAAAACCCAUGUAUGGAGAAUAUAUGCCGCCCCCGAGGAGGCCUUGCCUUCAGACACAAUAACUCCUCUUGAAAGCUCCCAGCGGAUAGUGUCCUCUACUGAUGAUGGAACCGCCAGCAUCAUAUCGGCUCUUCUCUUUGUUGCCUUCGUUGUUUUAUCCGUUCUCACCAUUGGGGUAAAUUCUAAAUUCAAUUCUCAAAGUCACGGUGUUUUCACGAUUAAAAGGACAAUGAAUUCCUUGUGAGGUGAAAUCUUGGGACGUGCGUUAUUGAGUUUAUGCUUAGAUUGAUAGCUUCGAUGUGAGUUGUUUUUGUAAAUUGAGAAUCUUGGUUUGCAGGUAAUAUAUUUGGGAGUGACUGAUUUCUUGGAAAAGAGGCAGACAGAGAAGUUUGAGAAAGAAGAAACGGCCAAGAAGAAUAAGAAUGGGAAGAAAAUAAAGGUGAGAGCAAGGGCAGGGCCGAGGGGAUUUGGACAGAAGAUUAAUGAGGAUGAUGAUGAUGAUGAUUAGCAUAUGCAGAUGUAUAAUGUAACCUCUACUUUUCGGCAUUUUCAAGAGAUGUUCUUUUUCUUGAUUCUUUCUUAUCGUGGUUAAUUUUGAGAAGCCUUAAUACAAGGCUUCCCUCCAUCUAGAACUCAAAAAACUAAAUAUGAGAUCCAAAAUUAUUUACGUUUUUAAUCAGGAAAUUCAUUGCAGGUUCAAAAUCAACAAAAAUUCUAGAGCAUAACUGUGAAAAGUUUGAUAAAGAAGCCUGUAUUUGCAGAGGAUGGGAGAUGCAUUCUAUUUACAGGUUUGAAUGGAGGCAUCCGACUUGCGAGUUGAAUUGAAACCAAGCAUUCGAGCUUUGAUUAAAAAUAACUUCUGCAAAUUUAUCCAGUGGUUCAACUUGCACCAAUCAUGGCUUUUGCUUUUUGAUGCUAAAGAGUAUUCAGAAACAUGGAGGAGACAUUAAA
rnacentral:misc_RNA from 1 species